rnacentral:rRNA from 1 species
CGUAAAGCGUACGUAGGCGGUUAAUUAAGUCAGAUGUGAAAGCUCGGGCUUAACCUGGGAACUGCAUUUGAAACUGGUUAGCUAGAGUUUAGUAGAGGGGAGUGGAAUUUCAGGUGUAGCGGUGAAAUGCGUAGAUAUCUGAAGGAACACCAGUGGCGAAGGCGACUCCCUGGACUAGAACUGACGCUGAGGUACGAAAGCGUGGGUAGCAAACAGGAUUAGAUACCCUGGUAGUCCACGCCGUAAACGAUGUCAACUAGCCGUUGGGUCAUUAAUAUGACUUAGUGGUGCAGCUAACGCAUUAAGUUGACCGCCUGGGGAGUACGGCCGCAAGGUUAAAACUCAAAUGAAUUGACGGGGGCCCGCACAAGCGGUGGAGCAUGUGGUUUAAUUCGAUGCAACGCGAAGAACCUUACCUACCCUUGACAUCCUCAGAACUUGUUAGAGAUAACUUGGUGCCUUCGGGAACUGAGUGACAGGUGCUGCAUGGCUGUCGUCAGCUCGUGUCGUGAGAUGUUGGGUUAAGUCCCGUAACGAGCGCAACCCUUAUCCUUAGUUGCCAGCACAUAAUGGUGGGAACUCUAAGGAGACUGCCGGUGAUAAACCGGAGGAAGGU